rnacentral:rRNA from 1 species
UGGGGAAUUUUGGACAAUGGGGGCAACCCUGAUCCAGCCAUGCCGCGUGAGUGAAGAAGGCCUUCGGGUUGUAAAGCUCUUUCGGCCGGGAAGAAAUCGUGUUCUCUAACAUAGGACAUGGAUGACGGUACCGGACUAAGAAGCACCGGCUAACUACGUGCCAGCAGCCGCGGUAAUACGUAGGGUGCGAGCGUUAAUCGGAAUUACUGGGCGUAAAGCGUGCGCAGGCGGUUUUGUAAGACAGAUGUGAAAUCCCCGGGCUUAACCUGGGAACUGCGUUUGUGACUGCAAGGCUAGAGUACGGCAGAGGGGGGUGGAAUUCCUGGUGUAGCAGUGAAAUGCGUAGAUAUCAGGAGGAACACCGAUGGCGAAGGCAGCCCCCUGGGCCUGUACUGACGCUCAUGCACGAAAGCGUGGGGAGCAAACAGG